rnacentral:tRNA from 1 species
UCCCCUGUAGCUCAAUCGGUUAGAGCGCGGACUGGUGCACCAGGACGAGGCAGUUGGUUCAAAACCAACCAGGGGAA